rfam:Gossypium hirsutum cultivar TM-1 unplaced genomic scaffold scaffold1842.1, whole genome shotgun sequence
UAUUAAAAAGUUCAUCUAUUUGUACUAUUAAAAACUAGUGUGGCUUAUAGAAUAACCAAACAGUGACACGUGUACCUUACGCUAACAACAAAAAUAAAUUUUUAAUAGUAGAAAUGGUAUGAAAUUUUUACCA